rnacentral:ncRNA from 2 species
CUGUCAUCCAGAGAGGCGGAGGGACCGGCCCUGUGAAGCCUCGGCAACCUAUCGGGGAGCAUUCCCCGGUGUGGUGCCAACUCCGGCAGACGGAAAGCUCUGGAAGAUGAGAG